AUUGUCUGCAUAACCGUUUGGGCUAACCGUGUGCUUGUCCGAAAAACUGAUUCGACUGACUAACAAUUCGAAAGAUUGUCAGCAUAACAGUUGUCUGACACACUGAGAAACUGAAAAAGUGAUUCAACUGAAAAUCAGAUUGUCUGCAUAACACGCAAUCACACAAGCAACACUGGCUAGUGCUUGAACAAUCACACAAACAGUUUGUCUGCCUUGUGCUUGAACCAAGGGAGGCGACAUCGGUGUUGCUGGCGUAGGCAAUGGUCAGGCAGAGACCGACAUCUCGGUGCUAGGGCUACUUGUACCAACAAUGGAGGCCGCGCCGGCAUUUGGAAAGCAGGCAUAGGGGCGCACAAGGUCGAGCAUGGCAUCUCUGCGCCGGCGAACCUUCUCCCAAUUGACGAGGCGACAAAGGUGAACCGACCAAUGCAGUCGUCAAUGUAGGGAGAGACGACGGGGCGAAGGGAAGACGGCCGGAGCAUCACCCAAUGGCGGCGACGGUUCCUUGGUGAGUGGUGGUGACUUGGGUACGGUGGGGCAGACAGGGGAAAAGAAAGCUCGGGAUAAUUGUACUGUUACAAACGCGCGAGAGAGUGUCUCAGUUCUAUUUUUGGAACAAGCGGAAGUAUAUCGGUUCU
rnacentral:lncRNA from 7 species